UGUUUCGGCUAGGGGGCCAUCCCGGCUUACCAACCCGAUGCAAACUGCGAAUACCGGAGAAUGUUAUCACGGGAGACACACGGCGGGUGCUAACGUCCGUCGUGAAGAGGGAAACAACCCAGACCGCCAGCUAAGGUCCCAAAGUCAUGGUUAAGUGGGAAACGAUGUGGGAAGGCCCAGACAGCCAGGAUGUUGGCUUAGAAGCAGCCAUCAUUUAAAGAAAGCGUAAUAGCUCACUGGUCGAGUCGGCCUGCGCGGAAGAUGUAACGGGGCUAAACCAUGCACCGAAGCUGCGGCAGCGACACUGUGUGUUGUUGGGUAGGGGAGCGUUCUGUAAGCCUGUGAAGGUGUGCUGUGAGGCAUGCUGGAGGUAUCAGAAGUGCGAAUGCUGACAUAAGUAACGAUAAAGCGGGUGAAAAGCCCGCUCGCCGGAAGACCAAGGGUUCCUGUCCAACGUUAAUCGGGGCAGGGUGAGUCGACCCCUAAGGCGAGGCCGAAAGGCGUAGUCGAUGGGAAACGGGUUAAUAUUCCCGUACUUGGUGUUACUGCGAAGGGGGGACGGAGAAGGCUAUGUUGGCCGGGCGACGGUUGUCCCGGUUUAAGCGUGUAGGUGUGUGUUCCAGGUAAAUCCGGUUCACUUUAACACUGAGGCGUGAUGACGAGGCACUACGGUGCUGAAGCAACAAAUGCCCUGCUUCCAGGAAAAGCCUCUAAGCAUCAGGUAACAUCAAAUCGUACCCCAAACCGACACAGGUGGUCAGGUAGAGAAUACCAAGGCGCUUGAGAGAACUCGGGUGAAGGAACUAGGCAAAAUGGUGCCGUAACUUCGGGAGAAGGCACGCUGACACGUAGGUGAAGUGAUUUACUCACGGAGCUGAAGUCAGUCGAAGAUACCAGCUGGCUGCAACUGUUUAUUAAAAACACAGCACUGUGCAAACACGAAAGUGGACGUAUACGGUGUGACGCCUGCCCGGUGCCGGAAGGUUAAUUGAUGGGGUCAGCGCAAGCGAAGCUCCUGAUCGAAGCCCCGGUAAACGGCGGCCGUAACUAUAACGGUCCUAAGGUAGCGAAAUUCCUUGUCGGGUAAGUUCCGACCUGCACGAAUGGCGUAAUGAUGGCCAGGCUGUCUCCACCCGAGACUCAGUGAAAUUGAACUCGCUGUGAAGAUGCAGUGUACCCGCGGCAAGACGGAAAGACCCCGUGAACCUUUACUAUAGCUUGACACUGAACAUUGAGCCUUGAUGUGUAGGAUAGGUGGGAGGCUUUGAAGCGUGGACGCCAGUCUGCGUGGAGCCGACCUUGAAAUACCACCCUUUAAUGUUUGAUGUUCUAACGUGGACCCGUGAUCCGGGUUGCGGACAGUGUCUGGUGGGUAGUUUGACUGGGGCGGUCUCCUCCUAAAGAGUAACGGAGGAGCACGAAGGUUGGCUAAUCCUGGUCGGACAUCAGGAGGUUAGUGCAAUGGCAUAAGCCAGCUUGACUGCGAGCGUGACGGCGCGAGCAGGUGCGAAAGCAGGUCAUAGUGAUCCGGUGGUUCUGAAUGGAAGGGCCAUCGCUCAACGGAUAAAAGGUACUCCGGGGAUAACAGGCUGAUACCGCCCAAGAGUUCAUAUCGACGGCGGUGUUUGGCACCUCGAUGUCGGCUCAUCACAUCCUGGGGCUGAAGUAGGUCCCAAGGGUAUGGCUGUUCGCCAUUUAAAGUGGUACGCGAGCUGGGUUUAGAACGUCGUGAGACAGUUCGGUCCCUAUCUGCCGUGGGCGCUGGAGAACUGAGGGGGGCUGCUCCUAGUACGAGAGGACCGGAGUGGACGCAUCACUGGUGUUCGGGUUGUCAUGCCAAUGGCACUGCCCGGUAGCUAAAUGCGGAAGAGAUAAGUGCUGAAAGCAUCUAAGCACGAAACUUGCCCCGAGAUGAGUUCUCCCUGAGACUACGAGUCUCCUGAAGGAACGUUGAAGACGACGACGUUGAUAGGCCGGGUGUGUAAGCGCAGCGAUGCGUUGAGCUAACCGGUA
rnacentral:rRNA from 1 species